AGUGAACGCUGGCGGUAGGCCUAACACAUGCAAGUCGAACGGCAGCACAGUAAGAGCUUGCUCUUACGGGUGGCGAGUGGCGGACGGGUGAGGAAUACAUCGGAAUCUACUUUUUCGUGGGGGAUAACGUAGGGAAACUUACGCUAAUACCGCAUACGACCUACGGGUGAAAGCAGGGGAUCUUCGGACCUUGCGCGAUUGAAUGAGCCGAUGUCGGAUUAGCUAGUUGGCGGGGUAAAGGCCCACCAAGGCGACGAUCCGUAGCUGGUCUGAGAGGAUGAUCAGCCACACUGGAAAUGAGACACGGUCCAGACUCCUACGGGAGGCAGCAGUGGGGAAUAUUGGACAAUGGGCGCAAGCCUGAUCCAGCCAUACCGCGUGGGUGAAGAAGGCCUUCGGGUUGUAAAGCCCUUUUGCUGGGAAAGAAAAGCAGCAGGUUAAUACCCCGCUGUUCUGACGGUACCCAAAGAAUAAGCACCGGCUAACUUCGUG
rnacentral:rRNA from 1 species